rnacentral:rRNA from 1 species
GACGAACGCUGGCGGCGUGCUUAACACAUGCAAGUCGAACGGAAAGGCCCUGCUUUUGUGGGGUGCUCGAGUGGCGAACGGGUGAGUAACACGUGAGUAACCUGCCCUUGACUUUGGGAUAACUUCAGGAAACUGGGGCUAAUACCGGAUAGGAGCUCCUGCUGCAUGGUGGGGGUUGGAAAGUUUCGGCGGUUGGGGAUGGACUGGCGGGUUAUCAGCUUGUUGGUGGGGUAGGGGCUUACAAAGGUUGUGACGGGUAGCCGGCCUGAGAGGGUGACCGGCCACAUUGCGACUGAGGUACGGCCCAGACUCCUACGGGAGGCAGCAGUGGGGAAUAUUGCACAAUGGGCGGAAGCCUGAUGCAGCAGCGCCGCGUGCGGGAUGACGGCCUUCGGGUUGUAAACCGCUUUCGCCUGUGACGAAGCGUGAGUGACGGUAAUGGGUAAAGAAGCACCGGCUAACUACGUG